rnacentral:rRNA from 1 species
GCUUGCUCCCGGAUGUUAGCGGCGGACGGGUGAGUAACACGUGGGUAACCUGCCUGUAAGACUGGGAUAACUCCGGGAAACCGGAGCUAAUACCGGAUAGUUCCUUGAACCGCAUGGUUCAAGGAUGAAAGACGGUUUCGGCUGUCACUUACGGAUGGACCCGCGGCGCAUUGGCUGGUUGGUGAGGUAACGGCUCACCG